AAGGAUUAAGCAUGAACUCGAAACAGGAUGUGUCGAGAUAAGGAUAAAGUAUAAGGGUGAACAGCUUGUACUAAUCUAUGGAAAAUAAAUUUUGCAGGAUGCAAUAGGAAUACGUCAUAGGAAGUGACAGGCUCUGUAAAAAGGAUUUACAGGUCAAGGGACUGAGUGUUAUCUCACGUAAGUUUGAUACACAGGGACGAAAAGGGAUUACAGGGACGAUGCAGGACGCAAGCAGACGCAUGGAUGGUGCAGGGAGCACAAAUCGAGCAGGACGGCUUACAAAGGAUAAAUGGGGCGCACUUUAGUUGCGCCCUUUUCUUUGG
rnacentral:sRNA from 1 species